CACUACUGCUUUUGAAUGCGUGUGGAUGGGGGACUAGCCACGCCCUCUGGUCGCGUGGAUUCACCUUGGGCUCCUGCCCCGGUGCCGGUGUGCUGCGCGCGCCGGACGCGUGCCACUUGAAGCACUAAACAAACAGUCAGUGGUGAGUUUUUUUUCUUUUUAUCUAUCAGAGUGUCAGAGAGGUGAGAGCAGGAGAGGAGAGGAAAGUUUGAAAAACAGAGAAGUCACUCCAAACUCUGUGCGUAAAGAGCAGAAGAACUGCAGAAAGACUUUUAGUUCCACCUGGAACUCAUGGAUUUUGUUCAUUAUCGACAAGCAAAAACUAUUGAUUUGGUCCUGUUUAAAAUCAACUUUACUCAUCGUUCUUUCUUUUCCUCUGGGGAGCACAUGCCCAUGGAAAAAAGACCAGAAAAUCAAUCGAUCGUAUCAACUCUAAGAAUCUUCUCGAGAGAAUCAGGUCUUGACUUAACUUUCUCCAAACCUCAUCUGUUAUCUUUUGGAUGGGUCAUCGGACUUUCCCUCUCAUAUUCCAUUGAACAUACGCACUUUGAACUGUCAGGAAAUGGAAAAUAGUUUCAGUAAGCAUAUUCCAACGUUAAGAAUAUAUUACAUUUCUUAGUAAGUCUUUUAAUUUCCUAAAGUACACCAUUCUUUCUUUGUUUAAUGAAUAAUUCUAUUGAGAGUCGAGCUUUAAAACAAAAUAUAUGCAAAGAAUCAUGAGGCUUUAUCAUAGGACGUGUUCAUUCUGUUUUCUUUAUCUUUUGGGUUUUCUGUACAGCUCUUCUUGCAGAGUGUGGUGCUGAAAGACAGCUCACCCUGCAGCAAACCACCCAGACCUAUAACAUCACCAACUCUGCUCACUCUGCACUUCAUCUCUGCGCGUAAAUCUGACGCUCACUGUCGCUCCGGCUCAAACGCUGCUCUAGUUUUGUUGUAAACAUUACAGACGCGUCUGCAUGCCGCUUUUUUUAAAGGCUCCAUUGUGCACAAGAGGGCCGAAUUUUCCACUUUGAUUGGAGCAGAUCAUCAGCCGCGCACAGGCGGAACGGAGGGGCGCAAAUCUGCGGAGGGGCCCUGAGGAGCAGUUAAGAGGAGGCUUUGUGUAUGAUUUGAUACACCCGAUAUGGUUACAGUAGCGUCGACGCGCCGAGUCCUGUCGAUUAUCGUCGCUUUGAAGAAGAGCAGAAUAAUAAAAACACGUCUUUCAGCGCGGAACAAAACAAGAACCAAGCCACCCCCUCUGUUUUCCCUGAUUUUUUUUUUGCGCGUGCACGUGGAGUACGUGGACGUGUAAUAAACCUCAAAAGAAGAAAAGUUGAAAGUAGGAAUGUUCUUACAGGCUGCAUCUUCAGUUUUUACGCACGACGUUCAUCUCUCCCUUUCCCCCUCUUCUUCUCACCCUUCACUUUACACCCCAGUAAGAAAUAAAACACUUCACUUUGGAACCUUCAGUGUGCAUUUUCUGCUAUUUUUCAGCCAGUACGCACGACCCUUUUGGUGUUUAGUAAAUGUUUAUCCAACCCCUUCUCCUUUUCGUCUUUGCCUGAGAAAAAACAGAGAAUUAAUGUACAUUUUUCAUCGUUUCCUGCGUAAUAUGUCAGCUUUUACGCACUGUUUCCCUGUCGUGUGUGUCUGCCAAUGCUUUCUAGUACAAAUUACUCCAGUGUGUGUAAGAGAGUUUGUGUGUCUGUGCUUGUGUGUGUGAGUGUGGACAACCUCUGCUCAUUCUUAGCACCUUACCCUGCUCUCUGCUUUUUUUUUCUGAGCGCGUGCGUCUGUACAUGCGCGCCCUGAAGAGCGGAUUGUAAUAAAUUGUGCAAUUUUUCUGCGUUGGCAGUGGCAUUCAAAAUCAAGCUUGCAUUGAGGAGCCCCCCCUAGUCCAGCCCUCCUCCUCCUUCACCACCACCACCAAUACUUUCUUUUCUUUCCCUCCCCCCUUAUUCUCUCUGUCUCCCCCCUCUCUUUUUUUCCAGCGCAGCAAGAGAGUUUAGAAAAGAAGCGUGGGUUCUAUUCAGCCUCCCCCUGCACCCCUCCAACACCGCCCGGUUUUCUGAAACCUAUCCAUGCCCUGUCAGUGUGCUUCCAGAGUCCAAUUAGCGCUUUGUGAGGACUUUCUCUCCUUCCACUGCUGCUGCAUAGGCCGGUCUUCCAGAGGCUGGGAGGGCGCUCAUUUUUCUUGAGGGGCUUUCCAGUCAUAGUCAUGUGUAAUAAUUAAUAUGACAUCUGGGCGCCCGAGUUCCCCUUCAACCACUUUCUGUAUUUCAGCUUCUUUUCUUUGGAGACUUCGCCCUGUAGAAACAAUAAAACAAAACUUUGAAAGCAGCCGCAUCAUUCAGACAGUCUGUGCGUUAUGUAAAGGAUAAUCUAAUUUGUUUGUCAUUAAAAACUGUUUUUCUCACUUUGUUGUCUUACAGCAGGUGCACCAACACACAUCGAUAUGUGCUGAAUGAGCAGAAAGUUUCUUCAGGGUUGAUUUUGCCAAAUUUGUGGAAUGAAAGUUUUAAACUUUAGUUUAAUUCAUACUUACACAGU